UGGCAUUUUCUUUUCUGCAAACUAUUUGUGCUUCUUACCUGAUGUAUCUACUGCAGUAGGUAUUUAUAGUAUAGAUGUAUCAGAACUAAGAGGUUAAAAAUUUAUAUUCACAUAUUUGUCAUUUGAAUUAAAAUAGCCUAUGCAAUUUAUUGCUACAUAGACACUUUUAGCAAGUUUGAAUCUUUUCUUUUAUGAUUUGGGAUUUGGUGACAUACUUGGAAAGGUGUUCCCUGGUCUGGGAGUUUGUUGUCUAGAAACCCUAUAUUUUCUUUGAGUGAGAUACCUAUUUGAAUAGAUGCCUCACAUUAAUUUGGGGAAAAGGUGUAAUUCAUUCCCCGCCUAUGAACUCCUGGCCUAGGAGGCCAGUGUGCUCAUGCCUGACUUACAGCAGGCGUUCACUUUCCUUCCCAGAUAAGUACAUGCAGAUGAAUCACGCCUUGUUUUCUCUCAAUGGGCGCACGGGCUACGUUCUGCAGCCUGAGAGCAUGAGGACAGAGAAAUAUGACCCGAUGCCACCCGAGUCCCAGAGGAAGAUCCUGAUGACGCUGACAGUCAAGGUUCUCGGUGCUCGCCAUCUCCCCAAACCUGGACGAAGUAUUGCCUGUCCCUUUGUAGAGGUGGAGAUCUGUGGAGCUGAGUAUGACAACAACAAGUUCAAGACAACGGUUGUGAAUGAUAAUGGCCUCAGCCCUAUCUGGGCUCCAACACAGGAGAAGGUGACAUUUGAAAUUUAUGACCCAAACCUGGCAUUUCUGCGCUUUGUGGUUUACGAAGAAGAUAUGUUCAGUGAUCCCAACUUUCUUGCUCAUGCCACUUACCCCAUUAAAGCAAUCAAAUCAG
rnacentral:sRNA from 1 species